GCCGUCGGCACAGGAGAAUAAAGGGAAGAAAGUACAUGGAAACUGGAAUUUGAUGGGAGCAUUCCAAUAAAUGAAAGUGGCAGAACUCUGAAUACAGCAAGAAAGAAAAGCACAGACCGCUGGAUGCCUGCCUAGGAAGGAACACACUGAAAAUCAUCAUCAAACUUCAGCUUGUGUGGCACGACAGAAAAUAUGCAGGUGUGAAGUCUCGCUUUUCUGAAACACUUACAAAGACUCGAUAUUGCUAGAACAGUGAAAAAUCUCAAGACCCACUGGGCUGUCUGAGACAAGUCAAUCUCUCCGAUUCCAAACACAGUUGCCUGAUAGUGAGUCAGACCCUUAGUCCAUCGAUCUCACUAUUGCCUAUCCCGACUGGUAACAGCUCUCCAGAUUUUCAGAGAGGAGAUGCCAGGAAUUGAACCUGGGACUCACUGCAUGCAAAACGUGAAUUUUACCACUGAGUUACGGCCCCAACCCCAUGACCUAUUCUGUAAAAUGGCAAGAAGAG